CUAUUGGAUCCAGACUUUGAUUCUGGCUCAGGAUGAACGCUAGCUACAGGCUUAACACAUGCAAGUCGAGGGGAAACGACAUUGAAAGCUUGCUUUUGAUGGGCGUCGACCGGCGCACGGGUGAGUAACGCGUAUCCAACCUGCCCAUCACUUGGGGAUAACCUUGCGAAAGUAAGACUAAUACCCAAUGAUAUCUCUAGAAGACAUCUGAAGGAGAUUAAAGAUUUAUCGGUGAUGGAUGGGGAUGCGUCUGAUUAGCUUGUUGGCGGGGUAACGGCCCACCAAGGCGACGAUCAGUAGGGGUUCUGAGAGGAAGGUCCCCCACAUUGGAACUGAGACACGGUCCAAACUCCUACGGGAGGCAGCAGUGAGGAAUAUUGGUCAAUGGACGAGAGUCUGAACCAGCCAAGUAGCGUGCAGGAUGACGGCCCUAUGGGUUGUAAACUGCUUUUAUAAGGGAAUAAAGUGAGAGUCGUGACUCUUUUUGCAUGUACCUUAUGAAUA
rnacentral:rRNA from 1 species